GUAAGUAAAGGCCACCAUCCAUUGCUCAUGCUACUGAACUAGCCGCGAAAUUGUCUCCAAAAAGAGACUUUGGAAUAUUUCAUUCAGUAAAAACAAGCCUACGGUUUUGAGUUUUGUCUUCUUGUCUCCUUUGGGGAUUGGAGCAGAAUUGGCCCUGGAAAAUGCUCAGGCAGAGCAGCAGCCAUGGAGCAGGCCCUGCUGUCCUGGACUUUCUCCCUUGUCUUUCCCUGGCUCUCACCCACCGCAUUUCAGGACUGGGAAAGGCAUCGUAAAGACUGCCCUGAUCGAUUCCUGGAUUUAAAAGGAUGGCCUGUGGAAGCUGUGAUAAUCACAAGAGGAGAGCGAGACCCUGCCCCAAGUAAACUCUUUCCUUUUUUGUUUUUCAUGUUUUGAUCUUAUGAGCCUUGACUAGGCUCCACUGAAAACAAUGGCAACUUCUUCAAAGAGGAGCAUCAAGCCCUCUGAAUGGGCUAAUUCUGCUGCAGGUUCCCGCUAUCCAUCCGCCCUUGACAAGCGCCAGUAGAAGUCAACAGGUGGUUGUCCAAAUAUAAAUGAAAAGGCUUAACUCUGAAAACAUCGCCGUCUGAGGGGAUUUUGUGAAGACUUUACUCUGUGGUUUUGGCAGUGACUAUGGGUUUCUUUGCCAGCGCACAGAGAAAUUUGACCUGUGUCCCUCAGGGGCUAGAGAUUUUCAUCAUGACUGUCUCCACAUAGCACCUACCCACCCCUUCUUUUCCUCAACAAGCUAGUAAAUUCAAAAAUAAAAAGUGAAGAGAGAGAGAGAGAAAGGCUGAAGAAACAAAGGAGAGGGAGUACCUGAGUCUGUAUUUUAUUCCCUUAUUAAAACCACAUUUACAUGUGUCAAAAACAGGGGUAUUUUGAUGUGUGGGAGGAGAGAUAUUUUGCAAGGAGAUUUCUCUCAAUAAAAUGUCCUCCGUGCUGACAAUACUGUGACAAAUUAUGAGUUAUCUGUACAAACAACAUAUAUUUAAGUUACUACCAGCUUCUCAAGUGAGGAUUGAGAAAUAAAGCAACAAGGGGCAUGGAGGAGGGAAGCACCAUAGUGUAUAAUCCUUCUAGUUUAUCCGUAAUUUUCUUUGGUCCUUUCUCCUCUUUACUUCUUAGGCAGCCAGCCACCAGAGACAGGCCAUGUGAUCCUACAGGAAUACAUUGACUCCAGGCAAAAACCCAUUUUCCAAAGCAGAUUCUGUGUGUUUCAAAGUAGCUGCAAAUUUGUCAGUAGAAUGCAUCCUAU
ensembl:lncRNA